rnacentral:rRNA from 22 species
CACAUGACUCUCGGCAACGGAUAUCUCGGCUCUCGCAUCGAUGAAGAACGUAGCGAAAUGCGAUACCUGGUGUGAAUUGCAGAAUCCCGCGAACCAUCGAGUCUUUGAACGCAAGUUGCGCCCGAGGCCAUUCGGCCGAGGGCACGCCUGCCUGGGCGUCACG